AGAGUUCAAUUUAUUUUUCCACAAAGCAAGAGCUUUUGAUUUUUUACGGAGUGAAGAUUUAAGCAUUUAAUUUGCUGCAGAAAGAGGAGAGACGGUAGCAGUCAUGAAGUGAGCAUCUGUAAUUUUACGUUUCCCCUUCUUUAUUCCAUUUUUUUUUCAUAUUUCAGAUGCGUCAUCACGUCAUGUAUUACAUAUAUAUACACAGUGAUAUUGUAGACAACUUUAGGAACAUUGAAACACAAUUUUCAAAUAGUAAGCAGUAGCAUUUUUGUUGACUUUAUAGUCAUGACAUUAUUUUUUUUCUUUUCAUGCUUCUGGUACACAUGUUUAUUUUACAUUAUAUGAAAAUUGCCAAACUAAAAUAAUUAGUUUUUUUAA